rnacentral:rRNA from 1 species
UACGUAGGGUGCAAGCGUUGUCCGGAAUUAUUGGGCGUAAAGAGCUCGUAGGCGGCUUGUCGCGUCUGCUGUGAAAACCCGGGGCUCAACCCCGGGCCUGCAGUGGGUACGGGCAGGCUAGAGUGCGGUAGGGGAGAUUGGAAUUCCUGGUGUAGCGGUGGAAUGCGCAGAUAUCAGGAGGAACACCGAUGGCGAAGGCAGAUCUCUGGGCCGCUACUGACGCUGAGGAGCGAAAGCAUGGGGAGCGAACAGG